ensembl:lincRNA
GCUGUCUCGGGAGGCACCCCACAGUCACCAACGUGCUUUAUAACCUUGGGGUUCACAGAGAAGGCCGGGCCAUAGACAGCGUCCUAGAACACGGGCCUGUUCGCUCAGCGACAAAUGAUUGUCCCCAACAUGGCUCUUUGCCCAAGAGCGGGGACCCCGUGCAGGAACACGGGUGAAAUCCAAGCCCUUUGUCUUCUGCUGUGCUGGGGAUGAACUGCUAAUUGCUAAACACUGUGAUUAAGUGGGGUGAUUAAGUGGGGUGGCUUAAACCACCAGGAUUGUCCUUGGCCAUGGAAGUGUGAAAAGGACCGUGAUUAAUGAACUUGCUAAUAAUCUUUUCCUGUUAAUGACAUCCUUUUAUGUUUUGGCAGGAACGCAUGCUGUGCCUGCAGAUCAGCCGUAGGCAGCCCAUGCAGGCCUCCUGCUUGCUAAAUGCCGGUACUUUCUGAGCUGCAGCCCCAGGCUGCCUGGCGGAGGGGACCUGAAUUUUAGCCCGAUCCUGUUCCGGCCUUCUCUCUUCUAGCUGGGGUAGAGGGUGUGUGAGCCAGGCCUGGUUGCUGUCAGGCACUUACCUUUUGGUUUUUUCUCUUUUCUCUCUUUCUCUUUUUCCCCUUUCCUUCCUUCCUUCCUUCCUUCCUACCUUCCUUCCCUCCCUCCCUUCCCCCUCCUCUUCUUCUUUGUUUCUCUCUGUCUCUCUCUCCCUGUCUGUCUCCCUUUUUAGUAAUACUGGUGAUGGAACCCAGGGCCUUUGCACUGAACUUCACCCCCAGCCCUAUUUUAAUUUUUAUCUUUGAGAUACUGUUUUGCUAACUUAAUACACUGCCCAGGCUGGACUUGAAUUUGUGAUUCUCCUGCCUCAGCCUCUCAGAGUGCUAGGAUGACAGGCAAGCACUACCUUACCUGGCUACUCUAUCUUCUUGUCAUUUCUCCUAGCACUUUCUUCCUGGAGGCAGAUGAGGGACCUGGAUGCUGUUGUGCCCGGGCUUGGCCGACCUUUCUCUGGCCCUUGCACUCGAGCCCCAGAAGGCAACUCGGCAGCCGGCAAACCCUCUCAGGGGAGCAGCGCGGAGCAGGCGGCAGACUGCAGCCAAAUGAUCACCCCGCUCGCCUGCGCCAGCUCCUUCCCAGCGUGCCCGGGGCCCUGCACCCCCGGACUCCAGCGGGCUGCCCACUCUCUGGUGGCGGCCCCUCCUCCUGCCUGAGGCCUCACCCCCAGCACGUGACUCACCCAAACGCCUGCUGCUCUUCCCCCGCACUGAACCUCCUGGAGCCCCCGGAGCCUCGGCUGUCAUUCCUCUCCGUGUCCUGGUCCUGUCCAUGGGAACACGGAUUACCUGGGUGGUGGCCGUACCGGUGCCCCCAGGCCCGCAUCAAAGAGCUCCCAGGAAAACAGGACACGCAGCAGGAGGCUUUGAUUUUCGGAGGCAGGGGUCCCCGGCCGUGGAUUCUCCUGCGCUCCCUGACAGCUACAGGAUCAGAAUUAGGCUCCGCGCUCCCCACACCUUUAUCACUUGAGACAGCUCAGCGGCUGAGUGCAGUCAUCACACCUGCAUUUAUUCAUAGUUCCACCGCAGAGCCGUGCUAACGCC